rnacentral:rRNA from 1 species
UACGGGGGGGGCAAGCGUUGUUCGGAAUUACUGGGCGUAAAGGGCGCGUAGGCGGCUCGCUAAGUCGGAUGUGAAAACUCUGGGCUCAACCCAGAGCCUGCAUCCGAAACUGGUGGGCUAGGGUGCUGGAGGGGAAAGCGGAAUUCCUGGUGUAGCGGUGAAAUGCGUAGAUAUCAGGAGGAACACCGGUGGCGAAGGCGGCUUCCUGGACCAACACUGACACUGAGGAGCGAAAGCCAGGGGAGCAAACGGG